UUUGCUGCUGCACCAAGGUCACAGACAAGGAACAAACUCAGCCUUACCUGGAAGUCAGUGGCAAAGCAUAAAGAGUCUGGACCUAGCCUAAACAAGGGUGAAUAUACAGUACCUAGGAGAAGAAGUCACAGUGACUCCUCUUUCUGCUAGGGUAAGUCAGUAAAAUAAUCUCAAAAAAAUCUUUUUUAGUAGGCUGGGAAAAUGUGAUACC
rnacentral:lncRNA from 1 species